AUUGAACGCUGGCGGCAGGCCUAACACAUGCAAGUCGAACGAGUGGCGGACGGGUGAGUAAUGUCUGGGAAACUGCCCGAUGGAGGGGGAUAACUACUGGAAACGGUAGCUAAUACCGCAUACCAUCGGAUGUGCCCAGAUUGGAUUAGCUAGUAGGUGGGGUAACGGCUCACCUCGGCGACGAUCCCUAGCUGGUCUGAGAGGAUGACCAGCCAAACUGGAACUGAGACACGGUCCAGACUCCUACGGGAGGGAGCAGUGGGGAAUAUUGCAAAAUGGGCGCAAGCCUGAUGCAGCCAUGCCGCGUGUAUGAAGAAGGCCUUCGGGUUGUAAAGUACUUUCAGCGGGGAGGCGUUACCCGCAGAAGAAGCACCGGCUAACUCCGUGCCAGCAGCAGCGGUAAUUC
rnacentral:rRNA from 1 species